UACGGAGGGUGCAAGCGUUGUCCGGAUUUAUUGGGUUUAAAGGGUGCGUAGGCGGAUCUUUAAGUCAGUGGUGAAAGCCCAUCGCUCAACGAUGGAAUUGCCAUUGAUACUGCAGAUCUUGAGUACAUUUGAGGCGGGCGGAAUGUGUCAUGUAGCGGUGAAAUGCUUAGAUAUGACACAGAACACCGAUUGCGAAGGCAGCUCGCUAAACUGUAACUGACGCUGAGGCACGAAAGCGUGGGGAUCAAACAGG
rnacentral:rRNA from 1 species